AUUGAUCUGUGAAUGACAUGCUGAUUAAAAAUGCCAAGCCAAGAAAUCAUGCAUAGAUAACAAACAGAUUGUUUAACUAUUAGAGAAGUCAAACAACAGGAGGGAAAUGUAAAAAAUUUUUUAUUAAAUGCAUUGCUGUUUAUGAUUCAUAUUGCUUGCCAGAAGCUCAUCCUUGGACGGCCUGCUGGGCGGGAAAGCACGCCUGUGUAACAUGUCUUGAUAAAAAGAGGAACGGAAUGUUCCAGUAAGAUAGCCACAUACUGUUGUAUAGUCAUUUUUCUGAGAAGAGCGAAAAUACGCCGCCCUGUUGUGUGGGCACCAGUGACUAUAAAUGCACGAAUAAAGAGGUACACUGUGUGACUCUCUCUCGAGACGUUCACCCAUGUACAUGUGAUUUAUUACGCUGUCUCAUUGUGUUCUGUUUAUAUUUGCAGUUUGCCAUUUGGGAUUUUCCCUUAACAGUUUUAUUUGUACUGUGAGAAGUUUGUAGUGCAGUAAAAAUAAGUCCAAAGGCAGAUUUGUUUCAACAUGACAACAAAGGCAGAUGUGAAAUGUAAAAGUGAGGUCAGAGGUCAAACAAAUGAUAUUUCAAAUCUUUAUACAGUAUUUUCUAUAUGUUGACAAGACACAGCACCUUUGUAAGAAUCAUAGUUUCUGUGUUAUAAGGAUUUUUAUUGAGUCAUAAAGUUGACCUUGAAGACCUCGGUGGAUGUAAGCCAAAUGUUAAUGGAUAGUUAACAUGACUGCAGCUCGUCAGUGAGGUAACCAGGCAGGUCUGCUGGGAUCCUUUCUAGGAAAAUAAGAUUUGUAUGCUAACAGAUUUUCCCCUUGUUUCAGUGACUUCCUGCUUCAAGAUUUGUUUUCAUGCCAUCAUUCACCUCCAGUCAGACGCCUGCCACCUUGGAUCAUUACCCCCCUAUUCACCACCACUGCUGCCCCCCUCAGAGCCUCUUCCUCACUUGCCUGCCUGCCCACCCUUCAGCAGUUUCCACAGACCUCUGCCUUCAUCCUUCACUCCCACCUAGUCUGGACUCCAAAUCUGUCGCCCUCACGCUGUUAUGUCCGCUCCUCUGGCCUGUCUCUCUCACCUCAGUUAAGAUGUUUUUGUUGGACUCGCUCCUUAAGUUUAGGUUCAUUUAUGUUUUGUUCUUGUUGACUGAGUCGAAGCUCACAAUCUGUUGUGUUAAAUGAAUUAUCCUUUGUUUGAAUAAAGAAACUGACUGAUUACA